UACGUAGGGUGCGAGCGUUAAUCGGAAUUACUGGGCGUAAAGCGUGCGCAGGCGGUUCGUUAAGUCAGAUGUGAAAGCCCCGGGCUCAACCUGGGAACGGCAUUUGAAACUGGCGGGCUGGAGUGUGGCAGAGGGGGGUGGAAUUCCACGUGUAGCAGUGAAAUGCGUAGAGAUGUGGAGGAACACCGAUGGCGAAGGCAGCCCCCUGGGCCAACACUGACGCUCAGGCACGAAAGCGUGGGGAGCAAACAGG
rnacentral:rRNA from 1 species